rnacentral:rRNA from 1 species
UACGGAGGGGGCUAGCGUUGUUCGGAAUUACUGGGCGUAAAGCGCACGUAGGCGGCUUUGCAAGUCAGAGGUGAAAGCCCGGGGCUCAACCCCGGAAUUGCCUUUGAGACUGCAUCGCUAGAAUUGUGGAGAGGUAAGUGGAAUUCCGAGUGUAGAGGUGAAAUUCGUAGAUAUUCGGAAGAACACCCGUGGCUAAGGCGGCUCUCUAGUACGUGACUGACGCUGAGACGCGAAAGCGUGGGGAGCGAACAGG